GAUGAACGCUGGCGGCGUGCCUAAUACAUGCAAGUCGAGUGAACGGACGAGAAGCUUGCUUCUCUGAUGUUAGCGGCGGACGGGUGAGUAACACGUGGAUAACCUACCUAUAAGACUGGGAUAACUUCGGGAAACCGUAGCUAAUACCGGAUAAUAUUUUGAACCGCAUGGUUCAAAAGUGAAAGACGGUCUUGCUGUCACUUAUAGAUGGAUCCGCGCUGCAUUAGCUAGUUGGUAAGGUAACGGCUUACCAAGGCAACGAUGCAUAGCCGACCUGAGAGGGUGAUCGGCCACACUGGAACUGAGACACGGUCCAGACUCCUACGGGAGGCAGCAGUAGGGAAUCUUCCGCAAUGGGCGAAAGCCUGACGGAGCAACGCCGCGUGAGUGAUGAAGGUCUUCGGAUCGUAAAACUCUGUUAUUAGGGAAGAACAUAUGUGUAAGUAACUGUGCAUAUCUUGACGGUACCUAAUCAGAAAGCCACGGCUAACUACGUG
rnacentral:rRNA from 1 species